GUGAGUAACCUGCCCUUGACUCUGGGAUAACCCUGGGAAACUGGGUCUAAUACUGGAUACUACCUCUUGCCGCAUGGUGGGUGGUGGAAAGGGUUUUACUGGUUUUGGAUGGGCUCACGGCCUAUCAGCUUGUUGGUGGGGUAAUGGCUCACCAAGGCGACAACGGGUAGCCGGCCUGAGAGGGUGACCGGCCACACUGGGACUGAAACACGGCCCAAACUCCUACGGGAGGCAGCAGUGGGGAAUAUUGCACAAUGGGCGGAAGCCUGAUGCACCGACCCCGCGUGAGGGAUGACGGCCUUCGGGUUGUAAACCUCUUUCAGUAGGGAAGAAGCGAGAGUGACGGUACCUGCAAAAAAACCGCCGGCUAACUACGUGCCAGCAGCCGCGGUAAUACGUAGGGCGCAAGCGUUGUCCGGAAUUAUUGGGCGUAAAAAGCUCGUAGGCGGUUUGUCGCGUCUGCUGUGAAAGCCCGGGGCUAAACCCCGGGUCUGCAGUGG
rnacentral:rRNA from 1 species